rnacentral:rRNA from 1 species
CUACGGGACGCACCAGUGGGGAAUAUUGGACAAUGGGGGAAACCCUGAUCCAGCAAUGCCGCGUGUGUGAAGAAGGCCUGCGGGUUGUAAAGCACUUUCGGUUGGGAGGACUGCUUCUAGCACUAAUAUUGUUGGAAGUUGACGUUACCUUCAGAAGAAGCACCGGCUAACUCCGUGCCAGCAGCCGCGGUAAUACGGAGGGUACAAGCGUUAAUCGGAAUUACUGGGCGUAAAGCGCGCGUAGGCGGCUAGAUCAGUCGGGUGUGAAAGCCCCGGGCUUAACCUGGGAACUGCAUCCGAUACUGUCUAGCUUGAGUACAGGAGAGGAGAGUGGAAUUCCACAUGUAGCGGUGAAAUACGUAGGUAUGUGGAGGAACACCAAUGGCGAAGGCAGCUCUCUGGCCUGAUACUGACGCUGAGGUGCGAAAGCGUGGGGAGCAAACAGGAUUAGAUACCCUCGUAGUC